rnacentral:rRNA from 1 species
CGGCGGACGGGUGGGUAAUGUCUGGGAAACUGCCUGAUGGAGGGGGAUAACUACUGGAAACGGUAGCUAAUACCGCAUAACGUCGCAAGACCAAAGAGGGGGACCUUCGGGCCUCUUGCCAUCGGAUGUGCCCAGAUGGGAUUAGCUAGUAGGUGGGGUAACGGCUCACCUAGGCGACGAUCCCUAGCUGGUCUGAGAGGAUGACCAGCCACACUGGAACUGAGACACGGUCCAG